rnacentral:rRNA from 1 species
GACGAACGCUGGCGGCGUGCCUAAUACAUGCAAGUCGAACGAGUGGCGGACGGGUGAGUAACACGUGGGAACCUACCCAUCAGAGGGGGAUAACUCCUGGAAACGGUGGCUAAUACCGCAUACUAUCGUAUGAACCCAUAUGGGAUUAGCUAGUAGGUGGGGUAAAGGCUCACCUAGGCGACGAUCCCUAGCUGGUCUGAGAGGGUGAUCAGCCACACUGGGACUGAGACACGGCCCAGACUCCUACGGGAGGCAGCAGUAGGGAAUAUUGCGCAAUGGGCGCAAGCCUGAUGCAGCCAUGCCGCGUGUAUGAAGAAGGCCUUAGGGUUGUAAAGUACUUUCAUCGGGGAGGCGUUACCCACAGAAGAAGCACCGGCUAACUCCGUGCCAGCAGCCGCGGUAAUAC